rnacentral:rRNA from 1 species
UGGGGAAUUUUGGACAAUGGGGGCAACCCUGAUCCAGCCAUACCGCGUGAGUGAAGAAGGCCUUCGGGUUGUAAAGCUCUUUCGGCAGGGAAGAAAUUGUGCUUAUUAAUACUGAGCAUAGAUGACGGUACCUGAAGAAGAAGCACCGGCUAACUACGUGCCAGCAGCCGCGGUAAUACGUAGGGUGCGAGCGUUAAUCGGAAUUACUGGGCGUAAAGCGUGCGCAGGCGGUUUUGUAAGACAGAUGUGAAAUCCCCGGGCUUAACCUGGGAACUGCAUUUGUGACUGCGAGACUAGAGUGUAGCAGAGGGGGGUAGAAUUCCACGUGUAGCAGUGAAAUGCGUAGAGAUGUGGAGGAAUACCGAUGGCGAAGGCAGCCCCCUGGGUUAACACUGACGCU